GACGAACGCUGGCGGCGUGCUUAACACAUGCAAGUCGAACGAAGAGCGAUGGAAGCUUGCUUCUAUCAAUCUUAGUGGCGAACGGGUGAGUAACGCGUAAUCAACCUGCCCUUCAGAAGGGGACAACAGUUGGAAACGACUGCUAAUACCGCAUACGAUCUAAUCUCGGCAUCGAGGAUAGAUGAAAGGUGGCCUCUACAUGUAAGCUAUCACUGAAGGAGGGGAUUGCGUCUGAUUAGCUAGUUGGAGGGGUAACGGCCCACCAAGGCGAUGAUCAGUAGCCGGUCUGAGAGGAUGAACGGCCACAUUGGGACUGAGACACGGCCCAGACUCCUACGGGAGGCAGCAGUGGGGAAUCUUCCGCAAUGGACGAAAGUCUGACGGAGCAACGCCGCGUGAGUGAUGACGGCCUUCGGGUUGUAAAGCUCUGUUAAUCGGGACGAAAGGCCUUCUUGCGAAUAGUGAGAAGGAUUGACGGUACCGGAAUAGAAAGCCACGGCUAACUACGUG
rnacentral:rRNA from 1 species